rnacentral:rRNA from 1 species
UACGUAGGGUGCGAGCGUUGUCCGGAUUCAUUGGGCGUAAAGGGUGCGUAGGUGGCGCCGUAAGUCGGGUGUGAAAUUUCGGAGCUUAACUCCGAAACUGCAUUCGAUACUGCGGUGCUUGAGGACUGGAGAGGAGACUGGAAUUCAUGGUGUAGCAGUGAAAUGCGUAGAGAUCAUGAGGAAGACCAGUGGCGAAGGCGGGUCUCUGGACAGUUCCUGACGCUGAGGCACGAAGGCCAGGGGAGCAAACGGG